rnacentral:tRNA from 1 species
GCUGUAGUAGCUCAGAUGGUAAGGGUGUCUAGCUCCUGACUAAAAGGCCCUGGGUUCAAUUCCAGGUAGGGGCA